rnacentral:rRNA from 1 species
UACGGAGGGGGCUAGCGUUGUUCGGAAUUACUGGGCGUAAAGCGCACGUAGGCGGCUUUGUAAGUUAGAGGUGAAAGCCCAGGGCUCAACCCUGGAAUUGCCUUUAAGACUGCAUCGCUAGAAUUGUGGGAGAGGUAAGUGGAAUUCCGAGUGUAGAGGUGAAAUUCGUAGAUAUUCGGAAGAACACCAGUGGCGAAGGCGACUUACUGGACACAUAUUGACGCUGAGGUGCGAAAGCGUGGGGAGCAAACAGG